AACGAACGCUGGCGGCAGGCCUAACACAUGCAAGUCGAGCGAGAUCUUCGGGUCUAGCGGCGGACGGGUGAGUAACGCGUGGGAAUAUGCCCUUCUCUGCGGGAUAGCCUCGGGAAACUGAGCGUAAUACCGCAUACGCCCUUUGGGGGAAAGAUUUAUCGGAGAAGGAUUAGCCCGCGUUGGAUUAGGUAGUUGGUGGGGUAACGGCCUACCAAGCCGACGAUCCAUAGCUGGUUUGAGAGGAUGAUCAGCCACACUGGGACUGAGACACGGCCCAGACUCCUACGGGAGGCAGCAGUGGGGAAUCUUAGACAAUGGGGGCAACCCUGAUCUAGCCAUGCCGCGUGAGUGAUGAAGGCCUUAGGGUUGUAAAGCUCUUUCAGCUGGGAAGAUAAUGACGGUACCAGCAGAAGAAGCCCCGGCUAACUCCGUG
rnacentral:rRNA from 1 species